rnacentral:lncRNA from 1 species
CGGAUGGCGGCGGCCCCGGCCGGAGGCAAUAAAACACCGGGAAUGAUGCGGCAAAACGGGCCGGAGCUGCGUGGCGAAAUAAAUCAUCCCACGCGGAGGAGGCGGUUUUCUGCCCGGCCUUUCGCGUUGGCCCCCGACAAAGCCCCGGCGGGCAGCGAGGGCCGGGCUGGAUGCGGCCCUGCACGGCGCCCCCGGCCGCUGCCAUCAUCUCCUCCCACCUCCCUCGCCUUCACCUUGGAGCGAGCGGCUCGCCGAGCUGCCAGCGGUGAUAAAAUGGCUGUGCCCCGAAUUUAUGGGGCUUAUCUAGCCAUUUAAUUGCCUUCUGCGGCGGCGAAGAUGUGAAAUUAGUCUCCCUUCUGAUCUUGAGCUAAGUUGGUCCAAAGCACCGUCUUAUAAUUUGCUCAGAUCAUCUCGCCGUCGGGUGGUGGAAGACACGGGGCCGGGGCUGCAGGGAGCACUGGAGUUCACACGGGACAGGAGUUCCACCUCGCUGUCCUGGAGUCACGCUGCUGGGUUCGCUUGCGUAGGAAUGGCAAUAUUUAGACUCGGUGCCACUUGCAGGAAGCUUUCAAUCAAGUGCUCUUCUCCAUCUCCCCUAGCAACAGCCGAGAAACGGAGCCGGUCUGGGGGACGGGGGAGAAGCUGAGGCAGGGGCAGCAGCAGGAAGAUGCCUGUCCCCAUCCAUCCUCUGCUGUCCCCGUGCUGGGGACAGCCUCCCUGACCUCCCGUCCAGGCUGGGCGCCUGCAGACGGACCUUUGGAGGCAUCAAAGGAGGUGGAGAUUCCAGCCCCUAUUGAAUUUCUAGUCCCCAACGACCUGAGGGGCAGGGGAAAGAAGGGAACUGGUUUUUGUCUGCUCGGUAUCUCAGACAAUCAAUGAAUUAAAGGGAAAUAAACUGCUGAUGAGGAGCGAACGUGGAGCUCGACGUGCUGCAAAACGUGAGGAGCAGAGAAGCGGCCGUGGCCAUUCCACAGUGCGGGGCAGGAAAGGGACGAUGGUGUGGGCACAGAGAAGGCCUUUCUUUCAUUUGUUCCUGGCCAAGAGCACACGCAGAUCGCCCUGGGGACAGCGGCACUUUCCUCCUCCGCGCAGAAUGUGCUGAAUGCGAGGGUAUUAUUUUUAACAGGGAUAUUUAGCUCCUCUUUACCCUCGUGUAGGUGGUUUACCCUCCACGGCCUCAAUCCCAGGGGAGGCUCCCGGUCAUCGCCCGGCCCCUAAGAACAGCGGAGGAGCAGCAGAGGCUCACAGACACGAGCUGUGCCUCGCCGUGACCGGGAGUUCAGUCCGGCCUCGCUGUGGGAGCGCGUGGAGCACAAAGCCGGGCCCCGCUCGCUCCUUCCACACGGGAUCUGACGACUCCCAGCCCGACGCUUCCCGACCCCCUCCAUCGCGAUCAGCUCUUUCUGCUCGCCGCAAGGCGAGUCGGGCCCUGCUCAGAC